rnacentral:rRNA from 1 species
AACGCUGGCGGCGUGCCUAAUACAUGCAAGUCGAGCGAACAGACGAGGAGCUUGCUCCUCUGACGUUAGCGGCGGACGGGUGAGUAACACGUGGAUAACCUACCUAUAAGACUGGGAUAACUUCGGGAAACCGGAGCUAAUACCGGAUAACAUGUUGAACCGCAUGGUUCAACAGUGAAAGACGGUCUUGCUGUCACUUAUAGAUGGAUCCGCGCCGCAUUAGCUAGUUGGUAAGGUAACGGCUUACCAAGGCAACGAUGCGUAGCCGACCUGAGAGGGUGAUCGGCCACACUGGAACUGAGACACGGUCCAGACUCCUACGGGAGGCAGCAGUAGGGAAUCUUCCGCAAUGGGCGAAAGCCUGACGGAGCAACGCCGCGUGAGUGAAGAAGGUCUUCGGAUCGUAAAACUCUGUUAUUAGGGAAGAACAAAUGUGUAAGUAACUAUGCACGUCUUGACGGUACCUAAUCAGAAAGCCACGGCUAACUACGUG